rnacentral:rRNA from 1 species
CCCUUAGAUGUUCUGGGCCGCACGCGCGCUACACUGAUGCAUUCAACGAGUCUAAAACCUGGUCUGAUAGGACUGGGUAAUCUUUUGAAUGUGCAUCGUGAUUGGGAUAGAUGAUUGCAAUUCUUCAUCUUCAACGAGGAAUGCCUAGUAAACGCAAGUCAUCAGCUUGCAUUGAUUACGUCCCUGCCCUUUGUACACACCGCCCGUCGCUCCUACCGAUUGAAUGUUCCGAUGAAUACCAUGGACUGAGAGUAUGAAUGGGUUCGCCUAUUUCUGCUUCUCGGGAAGUGGAGUAAAUCUUAACAUUUAGAGGAAGGAGAAGUCGUAACA